GAUGAAGAACGUAGCAAAAUGCGAUAAGUAAUGUGAAUUGCAGAAUUCAGUGAAUCAUCGAAUCUUUGAACGCACAUUGCGCCCGCCAGUAUUCUGGCGGGCGUGCCUGUUCGAGCGUCAUUUCAACCCUCAAGCACAGCUUGGUGUUGGGACUCGCGUUAAUUCGCGUUCCUCAAAUUGAUUGGCGGUCACGUCGAGCUUCCAUAGCGUAGUAGUAAAACCCUCGUUACUGGUAAUCGUCGCGGCCACGCCGUUAAACCCCAACUUCUGAAUGUUGACCUCGGAUCAGGUAGGAAUACCCGCUGAACUUAAGCAUAUCAAUAAGCGGAGGA
rnacentral:misc_RNA from 1 species